GACGAACGCUGGCGGCGUGCUUAACACAUGCAAGUCGAACGGUGAAGGGACUGGUUUUUGCUGGUUCUGGAUGAGUGGCGAACGGGUGAGUAACACGUGAGUAACCUGCCCCCUUCUUCUGGAUAACCGCAUGAAAGUGUGGCUAAUACGGGAUAUUCUGCGCCUGCUGCAUGGUGGGUGUGGGAAAGAUAUUGUUUCGGUGGGGGAUGGGCUCGCGGCCUAUCAGCUUGUUGGUGGGGUGAUGGCCUACCAAGGCGGUGACGGGUAGCCGGCCUGAGAGGGUGGACGGUCACACUGGGACUGAGACACGGCCCAGACUCCUACGGGAGGCAGCAGUGGGGAAUAUUGCACAAUGGGCGCAAGCCUGAUGCAGCGACGCCGCGUGAGGGAUGGAGGCCUUCGGGUUGUAAACCUCUUUCGCCAGUGAAGCAGGCCUGUCCCUUGUGUGGGUGGGUUGACGGUAGCUGGAUAAGAAGCGCCGGCUAACUACGUG
rnacentral:rRNA from 1 species